UUUUUUUUUUUUUUUUGAUCGGGCAAAGUCAUGUUAGAUGUUAGUAAUUAGUUCCCCAUCCACUCCAAGAACCACCUUAUCUCUCCAUUCACCAAAUUCACCUUAUAUCUCCAAUCUCCAAUUCGCUCCCAAGAGGGAUCGAACCCGGGUCACUUCACUUAAGUGAGGACCCGGUGGCCAGUGGGCUAAGCCCCCUGGUUAGCACUCAAGGAGUUAGUCUACCCAAUAGCCCUUUUCACCUUAGAAGUGAAAAAGGUUGCAGCAGGAGAAACAGAGGAACAACCAAAUUUGUUUGAGGCAGAGAGAAUGGCAAGCAGAGAGAACUUGUUUUGGCAAUGCAAAGAACCAACCACCAUAUUUGAUUUGUAUAUAAAACUGAGCUGUAAAAGUAGGAUCAUUAGUGAAGUAGGUUUCUCAUUCGGAUUGGAUUUGUAAUAGUCUUGUAUAUAUAUAUAUAUAUAUAUAUAUAUAUAUAUAUAUAUACAUUGUUAAAUUGAGGCAUUUGUUACAAAAUUUCAAGCAGGUAUAAAUUUUAAAAUUAAUGGUAUAUGUUUUAUAA